rnacentral:rRNA from 1 species
CCUGGUUGAUCCUGCCAGCGGUCAUAUGCUUGUCUCAAAGAUUAAGCCAUGCAUGUCUAAGCACAAGCCGAUUAAUGGUGAAGCCGCGAAUGGCUCAUUACAACAGCCACUGUUUACUUGAUCUUGACUAUCCUACUUGGAUAACUGUGGUAAUUCUAGAGCUAAUACACGCAAUCAAGCUCCGACCUUACGGGACGAGCGCAUUUAUUAGACCAAAACCAAUCGGGCCUCGGCCUGAAACGUUGGUGACUCUGAAUAACUGAGCUGAUCGCAUGGUCUUUGUACCGGCGACGCAUCUUUCAAGUGUCUGCCUUAUCAACUUUCGAUGGUAGUUUAUGUGCCUACCAUGGUUGUUACGGGUAACGGAGAAUAAGGGUUCGACUCCGGAGAGGGAGCCUGAGAAACGGCUACCACAUCCAAGGAAGGCAGCAGGCGCGCAAAUUACCCACUCUCGGCACGAGGAGGUAGUGACGAAAAAUAACGAGGCGGUUCUCUAUGAGGCCCGCUAUCGGAAUGGGUACAAUUUAAACCCUUUAACGAGGACCUAUGAGAGGGCAAGUCUGGUGCCAGCAGCCGCGGUAAUUCCAGCUCUCAAGGUGUAUAUCGUCAUUGCUGCGGUUAAAAAGCUCGUAGUUGGAUCUGCGCCUUCGGACUCGGUCCGCCCAACGGGUGUGAACUGGGAUCCAAGGCUUAUACUGCUGGUUUUCCCUCGAUGCUCUUCACUGGGUGUCGUGGGUGGCUAGCGAGUUUACUUUGAAAAAAUUAGAGUGCUCAACACAGGCUAACGCCUGAAUACUCGUGCAUGGAAUAAUAGAAUAAGACCACGGUUCUAUUUUAUUGGUUUUCGGAACUGUGAUAAUGGUUAAGAGGGACAGACGGGGGCAUUCGUAUCGCUGCGUGAGAGGUGAAAUUCUUGGACCGCAGCGAGACGCCCUACUGCGAAAGCAUUUGCCAAGAAUGUCUUCGUUAAUCAAGAACGAAAGUCAGAGGUUCGAAGGCGAUCAGAUACCGCCCUAGUUCUGACCGUAAACGAUGCCAACUAGCGAUCCGCCGGUGGUAAUUACGCCCCGGCGGGGAGCUUCCCGGAAACGAAAGUCUUCCGGUUCCGGGGGAAGUAUGGUUGCAAAGCUGAAACUUAAAGGAAUUGACGGAAGGGCACCACCAGGAGUGGAGCCUGCGGCUUAAUUUGACUCAACACGGGAAAACUCACCCGGCCCGGACACCGUAAGGAUUGACAGAUUGAGAGCUCUUUCUUGAUUCGGUGGUUGGUGGUGCAUGGCCGUUCUUAGUUGGUGGAGCGAUUUGUCUGGUUUAUUCCGAUAACGAACGAGACUCUGGCCUACUAAAUAGAGACAGGAUUAUUCUACUGUCCUGGAUUCUUCUUAGAGGGACAAGUGGUUUUCAGCCACACGAAAUUGAGCAAUAACAGGUCUGUGAUGCCCUUAGAUGUCCGGGGCUGCACGCGCGCUACACUGAAGGAAUCAGCGUGCUAAAACCAUUGUCGAAAGGCAUUGGUAAACCCUUGAAAAUCCUACGUGAUUGGGAUCGGGAAUUGCAAUUAUUUCCCUUGAACGAGGAAUUCCCAGUAAGUGUGGGUCAUCAGCUCGCGUUGAUUACGUCCCUGCCCUUUGUACACACCGCCCGUCGCUGCCCGGGACUGAGCCGUUUCGAGAAAAGCGGGGACCGCUGCUGUCGGGGCUUUCGGGCCUUGGCUUCGGUGGAAACCGCUUUAAUCGCAGUGGCUUGAACCGGGCAAAAGUCGUAACAAGGUUUCCGUAGGUGAACCUGCGGAAG